UUUGUGUGUGCGUGUGUUCGUUCAUCGGUAGUUCUGUGAUAAAUGCCAGAGGAAACAGUAAUCGGUGGAUCUCACGCUACUUUUUAAAAGUUUCUUUCCACAUAAUAUUGUUUAAAAAGUAUAAGUUUUCCCACCACAAUCGCACAUACGUGGCGUUAAAGGGCUUGAAAAAGGAAUGAAAACCUCAAAGAUCUUCGUUUUGUCAUAUUAGAUGAGGAUAGGACCGUGCGUCGAACGUUUGGAUUUGCCCUCCUAUUCCUCUGGGUUCCCUAUCAAGAUUUGAACCAGUUCCACCCACGUGACAGUUCAGAGCGACACGGACUGAACAAAGGGCGCCCCCACUCAAGCUCCUUGGCAAACUGCAGAGAUAGCUGGCGUGUGGGAAU
rnacentral:lncRNA from 1 species